rnacentral:tRNA from 1 species
GCAGCUGUGGCUCAGUUGGUAGAGCAUGGUGUUUGCAACGCCAGGGUUGUGGGUUCGAUUCCCACGGGGGGCC